rnacentral:lncRNA from 1 species
CUCUUUAGUUUUUUGCAAAGGCGACUUUGCUUGUGAGAGGAGUCUAUUGACUUUCUUUUAGGUCAUGCAGUUUAAUUUUAUGAACCAAGGAACAAUCUUGCAAGGUUAACGAAUAUCAAGAAAGAGAAUGGAAGUAACAACAUUAAUUUUUUAAAGCGUUGAAUACCAACUCAGUAGCUACUAAAACUUUAUCCCACAGAUGGAAUACAUUUAGAGAAAAGUGAGAGCAUAUAUGUAAAGUAUCAAAGAAAGGGCAUGCGGGAAUCACCUAGUCAUGUUGUACUAAUCAUUUAACUAUGCAAGAAGAAUAUACUUCCGGGAGUAGUAGACCUUCAUAUGUCCUGGAAACAAUCCUACAGAUGCGACAUUCUAGCUCCUAAAGGAAAACAUAAUUUAACUAAAGAACUGCAGAAUUAUAAGCAUUUGAUUUAGUUAUUUGAAUAUUCAAACCUAUAAUUUAUGCUGGAGAAACUCUAGAUAAGUGCUUAAUGAAGUAUGGAAAAUAGCAAAGCUGGUAGAUAGAACAUAUUAGAUAAAAGAACUGACAGUGCAUCUAGGUAUGGGACAAGAUAGACCUCCCUUGUUACUAUACUAACAUGCUGAUGGGAUUGACAUAAUUUCCGAAGUAUAGAAGCAGGUACUAGGAUAGACUCUUAUUGUGUAGUUCUUCAAAGUUCAAAGCAACGUCUGUUGUGCCGGUACCGGACUCCGGACCGGUUGACUAGUGGCAUGGGUCGGUACGGCCCUGCGUCGUGCCGUGCUAACCCUGUACUGACACAGUAGAAGAGGCAUGGGAGAGGGAGAAUGGAAGAGAGGAAAAGAGAGAGAAGGGGGAGGCUGAGGGAGGUUGGCGAAGAGCCAGUGGAGGGCCAGGGAGCCGCCGCGCGGAGGAGGCAGGGCCGGAGAGCUGCGGAGGAG